rnacentral:snRNA from 1 species
GUGCUCACUUUGCAGCAUAUCCACCAUUGGAGUGAGGCAGAUAUUAACAUGGCCCCUGCACAGAGAAGUCACACAGGUUUGUGACACAUUCCAUAUUUUU